rnacentral:miRNA from 1 species
CGAGGAAAGGAAGAAGCCAUG